CUUUACCUUCAAAGAGUUCCAGAACAACCCUAACCCAAGAUCACUGGUGAAGCCAAUAACGCAGCUGCUUGGGCGGACACACACGGCCACGGGCAUCCGCAAAGUGGUACGAGAGCUGUUUAACAUCACCAACGGAGCCCGAAAGAAUGCCUUUAAGAUCCUAGUUGUCAUCACGGAUGGAGAAAAGUUUGGCGAUCCCUUGGGAUAUGAGGAUGUCAUCCCUGAGGCAGACAGAGAGGGAGUCAUUCGCUACGUCAUUGGGGUAGGGAAUGCAGCUCUCAGGUUGAUGCUUCUGUGGAGGGUUUCUAUGUGGAUCCAUCCUCCCUUCAAUUUGCAAAUAUUAUUAAAAUCAAAGUGACAUGAGAGCUAAUGCUAGCUCAUAUACACCGUAUCAGCUAUCUGUUGCCACAUCAAUGCUGUGUAAUAAA
rnacentral:lncRNA from 10 species